rnacentral:sRNA from 1 species
GUUAAAGUGCUCUUUCCCAUGUUUGGAAGGACACAGUAAGGACUGGCUUUCAUCCCUUGAAUUACUGAUAGAUUUAUCCUGUGGUGAUGUCUGCUUUUGAUAUUUUCUUCACGGGAAAAGGUUUGUUAAUUCAGUCUAACUUCUUUAUUAUAGUUUUACUAAGGUUGUUUACUUCUAAUUACAACACUAAAGACACUGAAAUUUCAUAAAAUCAUAAAAGCCUCUUACUAGUCUAAAAUGUCUAGUCAAACAAAAAACAUUCAUGAAUUCUUUAUAAAUUUAUUAAACUGAAUGACUCCAAUUUUAACAUAUAUUACCUUUAAGGUGUAUUACCUAUUUGCUUCAAAUGCUUGAUAUCUGUAGCUAUAUUCAUUGAAAGGUACUUUUACAUCUCUUGGGAUUUUUUAUAGCAGGGAAAUUCUGUGUAAGAUAAAGUAAAAUAAAGCUUUGUAAAUCUCUCAACAAACAUAUAACUCCAUUUCCACCUCCAAAUAUUUUCACGUGAAUGUAUAAACAUCCAUGUAGAUUGUGAACAUGCUUAUACUAUUUGUGUGGUGACUGACAGAUGAGUAUGGACAUUUGUAUUUAUAAGAAUGCUUCAGUUGGUUCUAAGCUCAGAUUUCUAUCAUGCAUGCCUUAAUAUCUAUAAGGAAGUAUACUUCCCCUAUGUGUUCUUGUUCCUGUUGGAGAGCCAUGGCUGGGACAUGCUUGACUGAGGACAGAGGGGUCACCUGUGUUCUAGAAUGAGAAUUGUCACCCUUGGAGACAACAGUGUCAGAAUGGAGAGUGGUCCUUCCUGAGUGAUUAUGGUGUGCCUCUUUGUCUCCUCACACUUGCAGCCCUCACUGUUCUGUGCUUUAUAUAACCUGAUGCUGCCAAGGCUAUUUGAAGUAUUUUUGCUUCAGGCCCCUUGCAGCAGUAGAUGAAAAAUUCAUUUCAGGCUCUUGCAAAACCAAAUUCCAGCAAAGAUUUUUCUACCCAAGAGGUGGCAGUUGUCCCAAUGUGCACCAACCACAGAGUGCGUUCUCUGUACAAAGAGUGAGCAUUUCCAAGCAGAUUGAAGCUAACUUUCAGUAGACUGAAGCUUUCUGACUGGAAUGCAUGGGUUUGUCUUCAUUCAGUAAGAUUGCUCUGAUAAUUAAAGGAAAUGAUGGAUGUGCCACCAAGAAUCAGUGCUCAGCAGGAAAACAUGGGCUCUUCAUUGUGGCAUGAAUGUCUACAAAUCCACAUGACCAUAGUUCCUACUCUUCCCGUAGGCUUGUAGUGCUCAGCUUUCUUCCACAGCCAGACGUCUGACUCUGGAAACCUGCUCAAUAAAUAGUCAGCUCCAGGCAAUGGGAGGUUAGAUGUCUUCAGACCAGAAGAAAUCACACCAGUAUAUGGCUGUGCAAAAGAGAAAAAGACCAAGUAACAUAUAAAGCAGACCUAUUGGAAUUAUACCUGAAUUCUCAUCUGAGAUUCUAAAAGCUAGUAGUGCCUAAGCAGUGGUCUAACAGACACAAAGAGA